UCCUCCACCAGAGACAGGCACUGAGGGCUGGCGAAAAGCUGACCUUUUACGGGAAGAAAGCAACCGGCGGUGUUCCCUUUACCGUGGGCUUGACGCAAAAGAAUCGUUGGGAUUUAGCCGAUGAACCUGGAGCGGGCUCAUGUUUCAGUCCAGGCAGCCGCGAUCCGUUUUUUCUAGCUGGCAGCGAGGAGUCGCAAAGCUGAGUGCUAGGGAAGGAUAAGGCUCCGUAAACCCAAACUUUCAGGAAGUGAAGUCUACUGGUGUGGAAGACAGAGUUUUGAACACAGAUGAGUCCCUGCCCAGUCCUGAGGCAAAAUGGAUGACAUUGGGCAAAUCAGUAUAAUCCACUUCAGUGUGCUGUUACUGAAAGCAGUCGAGUAAAAUUGAAACAGGCGCUUGCUUGACACGGAGAACUUUCAUGUACCUCCCCUGAUAUAGAUGAUCAGCAAGCAGCAGAAGCAACCAAACAUCUGCUUCUGUGGCCAGUUUUCCCAACUACUCGGCAAGAAGCCAUAAAUAAGGUAUGUCAUAUGCCAAAGAAGAGAGAGCAACAAUGUGACAAGGGUAACAGUGGAU